CUUAUUAACUCUGGAAAAAAGGUUAAUGUAAAAUUUUGAGUGUCCCCAUUCUUAUGGGAAUUUUAUUCCAAUCAAUGUAGGAAAACAGUUACAGAAAAAAAGGCAAAGUAAAUAAAGUUGCAAUAAUUGACAGAUAUGGGUCCAGGAUAUUAAUAAAAGUGUGAGAAGACUUGUAAAAAGAAAAGGUACCGUGGGAAUGUGGUAAAUCCCCCCCC
rnacentral:lncRNA from 1 species